GUCUUUGGUCACCAAAGCCCCUUUGCAGGGAGAGAGAGAUCAGCCCCUUCAAUUCUGAUAACUAUGCUUGGAGAAAGUGAGUGACACAGCUUCCUCAGCCAGCAAAGAGAGAUGUCCAGGCUGGAGAGCUUCCGUCCCUCCUCUACACACGUGCGAUGCCACCCCAUCCCGGCCUAUCCCCUGGGAGGGACUCCUUGAGGCCGGAUGGAACUAACACCACAAAGAUACCAGGGUCUCACUCUGUUGCCCAAACUGGAGUGCAGUGUGGUCUGAUCAUGGCUAAUUUCAGCCUGGAACUCUUGAGCUCAAGCGAUCCUCCUGCUACAACCUCCCAAGUAGUUGGGACCACAGGGCUGGGCUGAUGAUGAUGCCUCAGCUUCUACCUGGGAGACACCAGCGCUGGCACCAUGGGCAACUCGGGAGCCAACCAUGGAGAUUUUCCUGAAUCCUCGGCUCCUGGUGGGUCUGGACACCACGUGGCUCCCCCAUCACAGGAUUA